rfam:Danio rerio chromosome 4, GRCz11 reference primary assembly.
UAGCUCAGUCGAUAGAGCAUGAGACUCUUAAUCUCAGCGUUGUGGGUUAGAGCCCCAC